UGCCAGACUCCUACAGGAGGCAGCAGUGGGGGAUAUUGCACAAUGGGGGGAACCCUGAUGCAGCGACGCCGCGUGGGUGAAGAAGCGCCUCGGCGCGUAAAGCCCUGUCAGCAGGGAAGAAAAUGACGGUACCUGAAGAAGAAGCCCCGGCUAACUACGUGCCAGCAGCCGCGGUAAUACGUAGGGGGCAAGCGUUAUCCGGAUUUACUGGGUGUAAAGGGAGCGUAGACGGCUGCGCAAGUCUGAAGUGAAAGCCCGGGGCUCAACCCCGGGACUGCUUUGGAAACUGUGUAGCUAGAGUGCUGGAGAGGCAAGCGGAAUUCCUAGUGUAGCGGUGAAAUGCGUAGAUAUUAGGAAGAACACCAGUGGCGAAGGCGGCUUGCUGGACAGUAACUGACGUUGAGGCUCGAAAGCGUGGGGAGCAAACAGGAUUAGAUACCCUUGUAA
rnacentral:rRNA from 1 species